rnacentral:rRNA from 1 species
GAUGAACGCUGGCGGCGUGCCUAAUACAUGCAAGUCGAGCGAACGGACGAGAAGCUUGCUUCUCUGAUGUUAGCGGCGGACGGGUGAGUAACACGUGGAUAACCUACCUAUAAGACUGGGAUAACUUCGGGAAACCGGAGCUAAUACCGGAUAAUAUUUUGAACCGCGUGGUUCAAAAGUGAAAGACGGUCUUGCUGUCACUUAUAGAUGGAUCCGCGCUGCAUUAGCUAGUUGGUAAGGUAACGGCUUACCAAGGCAACGAUGCAUAGCCGACCUGAGAGGGUGAUCGGCCACACUGGAACUGAGACACGGUCCAGACUCCUACGGGAGGAAGCAGUAGGGAAUCUUCCGCAAUGGGCGAAAGCCUGACGGAGCAACGCCGCGUGAGUGAUGAAGGUCUUCGGAUCGUAAAACUCUGUUAUUAGGGAAGAACAUAUGUGUAAGUAACUGUGCACAUCUUGACGGUACCUAAUCAGAAAGCCACGGCUAACUACGUG